UUCUAAAAAUAAAUUUUAUGAGCUUGUUAUUAAUAUUUUAAUUAGGGCAAAUCUCCAAAAUAGCACAUUUCUAAGUUUAUAUCACAAAAAUAGCACUCCAAAACUAAAAUGACCAAAAUAGCACCUUUCUAAGUUUAUCCUUUGAAAAUUUUAAUUUUUUUAUUUUUCAAAAUUUGAAAUCUUAUCCCCAAAACUUCAUUUCUCAACUCUAAACCCUAAACCCUAAACCAUAAACCAUAAACUCUAAACCCUAAACCUUAAACUCUAAACCCUAAACCCUAAACCCUAAACCCUAAACUCUAGACUCUAAACCCUAAACUCUAAACCCUAAACCCUAAACCCUAAACCUCAUCCUUUAACUCUAAACCCUAAGUUUGUAACUUUUGAUAAAACAUUAAGUGCUA
rnacentral:lncRNA from 1 species